GAAAUGCGAUAAGUAAUGUGAAUUGCAGAAUUCCGUGAAUCAUCGAAUCUUUGAACGCACAUUGCGCCCUCUGGGAUUCCGGGGGGCAUGCCUGUCCGAGCGUCAUUGCGAACCCCUCAAGCACGGCUUGUGUGAUGGGCCCUCCCGCGUCUUGGUCGUCAAGACGGGCCCGAAAUGCAGUGGCGGCUUCGCGGUUAUCCGAUCAGCCAGAGCGUAUGGGGACUUUCUCUCUGUCACACGCCCGCGGCGCGGACCGACGCCUGUCGACCUUCAUUCAUCGUUUUCUCGGUUGACCUCGGAUCAGGUAGGGAUACCCGCUGAACUUAAGC
rnacentral:misc_RNA from 1 species